AUUGAACGCUGGCGGCAGGCUUAACACAUGCAAGUCGAGCGAGCGGCGGACGGGUGAGUAAUGUCUGGGAAACUGCCUGAUGGAGGGGGAUAACUACUGGAAACGGUAGCUAAUACCGCAUACCAUCAGAUGAGCCCAGAUGGGAUUAGCUAGUUGGUGGGGUAACGGCUCACCAAGGCGACGAUCCGUAGCGGGUUUGAGAGGACGACCAGCAACAGGGGGACUGAGAAACGGCCAAGACUCCUACGGGAGGAAGCAGAGGGGAAUUUCGGAAAAGGGGGGAACCCCUGAUCCAGCCAGCCGGCGUGGGCGAUGAAGGCCUUCGGGUUGUAAAGCACUUUUGGCAGGAAAGCGGUACCUGCAGAAUAAGCACCGGCUAACUACGUGCCAGCAGCCGCGGUAAUUC
rnacentral:rRNA from 1 species